rnacentral:rRNA from 1 species
AACGAACGCUGGCGGCAUGCCUAACACAUGCAAGUCGAACGAGACCUUCGGGUCUAGUGGCGCACGGGUGCGUAACGCGUGGGAACCUGCCCUUAGGUUAGGAAUAACUCCCCGAAAGGGGUGCUAAUACCGGAUAAUGUCUUCGGACCAAAGAUUUAUCGCCUUUGGAUGGGCCCGCGUUGGAUUAGCUAGUUGGUAGGGUAAAAGCCAACCAAGGCGACGAUCCAUAGCUGGUCUGAGAGGAGGAUCAGCUAGACUGGGACUGAGACACGGCCCAGAAUCCUACGGGAGGCAGCAGUGGGUAAUAUUGGAAGCUGGGCGAAAGCCUGAUCCAGCAAUGCCGCGUGAGUGAUGAAGGCAUUAGGAUUGUAAAUCUCUUUUACACGAGAUGAUAAUGACAGUACCGGGUGAAUAAGCUCCGGCUAACUACGUG